CUUUUGAAUUUCGUAUAAAAUUAAAAAUGGCGUCUAAUAUAUCAGAUAAAUGUGUAAUGUACUUUAUGAAAACAAUGAAAAAUGUUUUUUCUAUUUUCUUUAAUUUUUAAAAUUUCUGCACGAUAUAUUUUAAAAAGCGAAGUAUUUUCUUAAUUUCAAAAGAUGUUCUAUUUACAUGACCUCUUUCCCUGCAACAAAAGGGAAAACGUGCACGAAGUUGAGUAUAUACAGUGAUUGAAUAUUCAAACAAAUGUGUAAAUCAUCGAUCGACUGAGAAUGGAAUUAACUUAUAUGAAUUAUGGAUGAAAAUAAUGAAACAAGUAGAUAAUUUAGCCUGGAUUUAUUGUCACAACUUCUGUACAAAACAGCAAAAAUACUCUUAUAUUAGACCAUCAGAUAACAAACUCAAGUUCUUCAAAUAGACAAGAAAAUACUGUAUUACAAAAGGAAUAAUAUCUAAUAGUUUAGUUCUUUAAUACUUAUAACAAUAUAUUAAAAGUUUAUAAGGGAGAUACAAUUAAAAAAAAAUUUGUAUUUUAUAGAUAUGAAGUUGAUACUAUUUCAAAAGACUUUGGAUUAAGUAAUAUAAUUUUUGUAAUUCAAGAUUUUAAUGAUAUUUAAUAAGAUAAUAUUUUGCCUGCUUUACACAAUGAAUUUAACGUAGACACUAAGAUGGAAGCAAUGAGAAAUAUUCGAAAAAAUACAUAUGACCGAUUUCAAUUUGGAUGGAGAAUUAAAUGAUAUCUUUUACCAAUAAAAAAUUUUUAACAGGUUUAGAAGAAUCUAAUAUCACAAUGUAUAAAAUUGAGACAAAAAUAUCAGUAUUUUUUGAGCAUGAUAAUAUACCGAAAUGGGAUGAAAAGAUCAUAUUUUUGGUAGAAGUCAAUCAAAGUUUCAACUAAUUAUAAUUAUGUAAUUAUACAAUUAUGUACGGUAUAAUUAUGUUCAACUUAUUAAUGUAAUACUUAUUUUCUUGAUGAAGAAUAUAGAACAGCAUAUAUGAAAUCAAUAUUACCAGAUAUAAUCAUAGAAUUUAUAAGAAUUAAUUUAUAAGAAUUGUGCUAGAAAAAAUAUAACUUCCAAAAAUUGUAGAAGAAUCUUUUAUUUGUAAAAGAAAUUAUGGAAGAAAUUUAUAUCAGUCGCUAGGUAAUAUAUUGAAAUUUGCAUAAAAAAUAUUUUUGUUUAUAAUAAUUAACUUUAAUUUAUGUUAAUAAUUUAUAUGUUAUAUUUCUAUAUUUUAUCUCGAUUGUCAAAUGAUUCAUGUAUCAUACAUUAUACAUAUUUAUUGAUAUCAAUAUAUUAAGAUAAAUUAUCGUUUUUAUUAAUAUAAAUUAUGGUUUUUAUUAAUAUAUUUUAUUAAUAUAAGAUAGAAUUUGUUAAUUAUGAUCAACAGAAUAUCUUUGAAAAAUAUUUAAUACCAAAUAAUAAUAUUAAAAUGUACACCAAGGAACCGAGAAAUUACAAUGGCUAUAUGAAUUUUUAUCAGAACGAUAUCUCAUUCUUAUUAAAUGAACAUAUAGAAUUAUACAUAACAUUAUGCAAUAUAUUAUUUCUGAUGAAUUAAAUAA